rnacentral:rRNA from 1 species
UACGUAGGGUGCAAGCGUUAAUCGGAAUCACUGGGCAUAAAGGGUGCGUAGGCGGGCGUUAAAGUCAAGGGUGAAAUCCCCCAGCUCAACUGGGGAACUGCCUUUGAUACUGGUGAGCUUGAGUCCGGAAGAGGUGAGUGGAACUGCGAGUGUAGAGGUGAAAUUCGUAGAUAUUCGCAAGAACACCAGUGGCGAAGGCGGCUCACUGGUCCGGUACUGACGCUGAGGUGCGAAAGCGUGGGGAGCAAACAGG